rnacentral:rRNA from 1 species
UAGGGAAUCUUCCGCAAUGGGCGAAAGCCUGACGGAGCAACGCCGCGUGAGUGAUGAAGGUCUUCGGAUCGUAAAACUCUGUUAUUAGGGAAGAACAAAUGUGUAAGUAACUAUGCACGUCUUGACGGUACCUAAUCAGAAAGCCACGGCUAACUACGUGCCAGCAGCCGCGGUAAUACGUAGGUGGCAAGCGUUAUCCGGAAUUAUUGGGCGUAAAGCGCGCGUAGGCGGUUUUUUAAGUCUGAUGUGAAAGCCCACGGCUCAACCGUGGAGGGUCAUUAGACACUGGAAAACUUGAGUGCAGAAGAGGAAAGUGGAAUUCCAUGUGUAGCAGUGAAAUGCGCAGAGAUAUGGAGGAACACCAGUGGCGAAGGCGACUUUCUGGUCUGUAACUGACGCUGAUGUGCGAAAGCGUGGGGAUCAAACAGG